rnacentral:rRNA from 1 species
AUUGAACGCUGGCGGCAGGCCUAACACAUGCAAGUCGAACGAGUGGCGGACGGGUGAGUAAUGUCUGGGAAACUGCCCGCUGGAGGGGGAUAACUACUGGAAACGGUAGCUAAUACCGCAUACCAUCGGAUGUGCCCAGAGGGGAUUAGCUUGUAGGUGAGGUAACGGCUAACCUAGGCGACGAUCCAGAGCGGGGCUGAGAGGAUGACCAGCCACACUGGAACUGAGACACGGUCCAGACUCCGACGGGAGGCAGAAGUGGGGAAUAUUGGACAAUGGGCGAAAGCCUGAUGCAGCAAUGCCGCGUGUAUGAAGAAGGCCUUCGGGUUGUAAAGCACUGUCAGCAGGGAGGCGUUAUCCGCAGAAGAAGCACCGGCUAACUCCGUGCCAGCAGCCGCGGUAAUAC